rnacentral:rRNA from 1 species
UACGAAGGGGCUAGCGUUAAUCGGAAUUACUGGGCGUAAGCGUGCGCAGGCGGCUUGCAAGACAGAUGUGAAAUCCCCGGGCUCAACCUGGGAACUGCAUUUGUGACUGCAUGGCUGGAGUGCGGCAGAGGGGGAUGGAAUUCCGCGUGUAGCAGUGAAAUGCGUAGAUAUGCGGAGGAACACCGAUGGCGAAGGCAAUCCCUGGGCCUGCACUGACGCUCAUGCACGAAAGCGUGGGGAGCA